rnacentral:rRNA from 1 species
CNAUCGAGGCUACACAUGCAGUCGAGGGGCAUCACUUCGGGUGGCGACCGGCGCACGGGUGAGUAACACGUAUGCAACCUGCCAUAUACAGGGGGAUAGCCUUCCGAAAGGGAGAUUAAUACCCCAUAAAACAGGGGUACCGCAUGGUAAUAUUUGUUAAAGAUUAAUCGGUAUAUGAUGGGCAUGCGUUGGAUUAGGUAGUUGGUGAAGGUAACGGCUCACCAAGCCAACGAUCCAUAGGGGAACUGAGAGGUUAAUCCCCCACACUGGUACUGAGACAGGGACCAGACUCCUACGGGAGGCAGCAGUGAGGAAUAUUGGUCAAUGGUCGGGAGACUGAACCAGCCAAAUCGCGUGAAGGAAGACGGUAUUAUGUAUUGUAAACUUCUUUUGUAAGGGAAUAAAGUGCGGGACGCGUCCUGUUUUGUAUGUACCUUACGAAUAAGCAUCGGCUAACUCCGUGCCAGCAGCCGCGGUAAUACGGAGGAUGCGAGCGUUAUCCGGAUUUAUUGGGUUUAAAGGGUGCGUAGGUUGGCUUUUAAGUCAGCGGUGAAAUCUCUCAGCUUAACUGGGAAACUGCCGUUGAAACUGGGAGCCUUGAGUGUGAACGAGGCAGGCGGAAUUCGUAGUGUAGCGGUGAAAUGCAUAGAUAUUACGAAGAACUCCGAUAGCGCAGGCAGCUUGCCAGGCCACAACUGACACUGAAGCACGAAAGUGUGGGUAUCAAACAGGAUUAGAUACCCUGGUAGUCCACACAGUAAACGAUGAUUACUCGCUGUUUGCGAUACAGUGCAAGCGGCUUAGCGAAAGCGUUAAGUAAUCCACCUGGGGAGUACGCCGGCAACGGUGAAACUCAAAGGAAUUGACGGGGGCCCGCACAAGCGGAGGAACAUGUGGUUUAAUUCGAUGAUACGCGAGGAACCUUACCCGGGCUCGAACGGCGAUAGAAUAUGAUGGAAACAUUAUAGCCAGCAAUGGCUGUCGUCGAGUGCUGCAUGGUGUCGU